UGGGGAAUUUUGGACAAUGGGCGAAAGCCUGAUCCAGCCAUGCCGCGUGAGUGAAGAAGGCCUUCGGGUUGUAAAGCUCUUUUAGUCGGAAAGAAAGAGUUGCAAUGAAUAAUUGUGAUUUAUGACGGUACCGACAGAAAAAGCACCGGCUAACUACGUGCCAGCAGCCGCGGUAAUACGUAGGGUGCGAGCGUUAAUCGGAAUUACUGGGCGUAAAGGGUGCGCAGGCGGUCUUGCAAGUCAGAUGUGAAAGCCCCGGGCUUAACCUGGGAAUUGCGUUUGAAACUACAAGACUAGAGUGCAGCAGAGGGGAGUGGAAUUCCCGGUGGAGUGGUGAAAUGCGUAGAGAUCGGGAGGAACACCAGUGGCGAAGGCGGCCUCCGAGCCUGAACCUGACGCUGAAGCGCGAGAGCGUGGGGAGCAAACG
rnacentral:rRNA from 1 species